rnacentral:misc_RNA from 1 species
AACUUUCAACAACGGAUCUCUUGGCUCUCGCAUCGAUGAAGAACGCAGCGAAAUGCGAUACGUAAUGUGAAUUGCAGAAUUCAGUGAAUCAUCGAAUCUUUGAACGCAUAUUGCGCUCUUUGGUAUUCCGAAGAGCAUGCUUGUUUGAGUAUCAGUAAACACCUCAACCCUACUACCUUUCUUGGGCUAGUCGGGCUGGAUUUGAGCAAACCCAACAAAAAGUCUUUUGGCGGGUUGCUUGAAAUGCAGGUGCAGCUGUAACAAGAACAGACUGAGCUAAAAGCAUAUCCAUUUAGUCCGCAUUUGUGGAUUAUUUAUUUGCUGCAGCUACUCUAAGGUCGUCUUGUAUGAGCUGACUGAUGCAGGAUUUGUUGCUCCUCUCUGAGGACUUCAAAACUCGAUCUCAAAUCAAGUAAGACUACCCGCUGAACUUAAGCAUAUCAAUAAGCGGAGGAAAAGAAACUAACAAGGAUUCCCCUAGUAACGGCGAGUGAAGCGGGAAGAGCUCAAAUUUGAAAUCUGGCCGGGUUACCGGUCCGAGUUGUAGUUUACAGAAGUGUUUUCGGCGGCAACCUGGGUACAAGUCCUUUGGAACAGGGCAUCAUAGAGGGUGAGAAUCCCGUCCAUGACCCAGUGGAUGCUGCUAUGUGAUACACUUUCAAAGAGUCGAGUUGUUUGGGAUUGCAGCUCAAAAUGGGUGGUAAAUUUCAUCUAAAGCUAAAUACAGGCGAGAGACCGAUAGCGAACAAGUACCGUGAGGGAAAGAUGAAAAGAACUUUGAAAAGAGAGUUAAACAGUGCGUGAAAUUGUUGAAAGGGAA